GUCGACAUUAGUGGAAUUUAUAAAUUGAUCAGCUGUCAGUAGUGACCUAUAUCGAAAGUCUCUGGAAAAAUAGAACAGCACGAUUUGAUGGUUGCAGAUGAAUGAAGCAGAAGAGUGAAACAGUUGACUGUUAUAUCUGCCAUUUUUAGCUUUCGAUUUACCAAGCUGCUUGCUGACUUUGUGCAGAGGCCAUCAACAAAUAUUUGAAUUGCUCCUGUAGUUUUCUAUAAAUAUUUGGAACCUUGUAUCAUUGAAUAUUCUAGAAUAAGCUAAAGGAUAUGGAAAAGAUGGUGGGAAAGAAGAAAAAGAAGAAGAACAACAACAACAAUAACAAAAAGCAAAAGAUAAAAAUAAGUGACCAACUAACCACGCUUCGGACGAAUUAACUCUUCAACUAGUUUGGCUCGUAUAUGACUUUGUCGUACACAUUGAAAGCAAUAAAAUUUUCU